UACAUGGGGUGCAAACGUUGCUCGGAAUUAUUGGGCGUAAAGCGUGCGUAGGCGGCUGUUUAAGUCUGGUGUUAAAGCUAGGGGCUCAACCCCUGUGGUGCAUCGGAUACUGGGCAGCUUGAGUGCGGUAGGGGAAGGUGGAAUUCCGAGUGUAGCGGUGAAAUGCGUAGAUAUUCGGAAGAACACCGGUGGCGAAGGCGACCUUCUGGGCCGCAACUGACGCUGAGGCACGAAAGCCUGGGGAGCGAACGGG
rnacentral:rRNA from 1 species